rnacentral:rRNA from 1 species
AGGGCUGCAGUAUAUUGACUGUACAAAGGUAGCAUAAUCAUUAGUCAUUUAAUUGAUGACUUGUAUGAAGGAUUUGAUGAGAUAUAAACUGUCUCUUAUUUAAUUAUAAAAUUUAAUUUUUUUAUUAAAAAGUUAAAAUAUCUUAAAAAGACGAGAAGACCCUAUAGAGUUUAAUAAAUUAUUAGAUUGAGAUUAUAUGUAAAACAAAUUUAAAAUAAAAUUAUUUAUUUUGUUGGGGUGACAAAAAAAUACAUUAAACUUUUUUUUUUUAUUUUAAAACAUUUAUAAGUGAUUAAAUGAUCCAAUAAUAUUGAUUAUGAGAAAAAAUUACCUUAGGGAUAACAGCGUAAUUUUUUUUUUUAGUUCAAAUAAGAAAAAGAGUUUGCGACCUCGAUGUUGGAUUAAGAUAAAAUUUAAA